GACACGACUCUCGGCAAUGGAUAUCUCGGCUCUCGCAUCGAUGAAGAGCACAGCGAAAUGUGAUACGUGGUGCGAAUUGCAGAAUCCCGCGAAC
rnacentral:rRNA from 1 species